GUGUGUGUAAGAGUAACUGUCAAGUAGCUCUUGUCAGUAAGGCACCCAUCACCUCCCUGGCAGCUGGAUGCAUUUGAAGUCAACACAAUCUUCCUAAUCUGGACCAAGAGAAGCAAACUCUAAAAACAAUUCUAAAGAAAUUAUUUAAGUAUUCCAUUCACAAACUACCCUUGUAAAGGCU